GACGAACGCUGGCGGCGUGCUUAACACAUGCAAGUCGAACGAAGUGGCAAACGGGUGAGUAACGCGAAAUCAACCUGCCCUUCAGAGGGGGACAACAGUUGGAAAAGACUGCUAAUACCGCAACCAGAAGGAGGGGGUUGCGUCUGAUUAGCGAGUUGGAGGGGUAACGGCCCACCAAGGAGAUGAUCAGUAGCCGGUCUGAGAGGGUGAUCGGCCACACUGGGACUGAGACACGGCCCAGACUCCUACGGGAGGCAGCAGUGGGGAAUCUUCCGCAAUGGACGGAAUUCUGACGGAGCAACGCCGCGUGAGUGAUGACGGCCUUCGGGUUGUAAAGCUCUGUUAAUCGGGACGCGGUACCUGACUAGAAAGCCACGGCUAACUACGUGCCAGCAGCCGCGGUAAUAC
rnacentral:rRNA from 1 species